ensembl:lincRNA
UUUCUUUACUUAUCUAUUCUCCUUUAUAAUAGCACAGAUUUGAUAAUCUCAAUAUUUUAUACUUUACAGGACAAUUAUGAGGCUGAAGCAUUGAAGAAAUGUAAGAAAUUAUUGGAAUUGCCUCACAGAAGAUGGGCCCAGCUGAUCUUUGAGUCUGCGCAGCCUCUCCCUGCCGUGCUCCUCUGCUUCGCACCGCUACAUGGGCCUGCUGUGCUGCUGCCCUGGACCUUGCCCCUGCCCCUGCCCAGCUCCAUCACCUUCACCAUCGUGGCAAUGCCCAGGAUGACGGCAGCAGGUGCCACCAGGAUGGGUGUCGGAGCCUCAUGGACCCCGAUGCUAGUCCUCCUGGAAGUGAGUUGGAGGCCUCCUUGCCCUGGCUGCUGUGUGACAGAUCAUCUCCCUGGUAAUUAACCCUGUGAAGUAUACCGAUACCUUCAACCUUCACGCCAAUCCUGCCGUCACAUCACAUCUGUCACUGGCCCCAAUUAUCCUGAUUGGCUGUCCUUUACGAAGAUAACCUCCUGGGAGGCGCCAAGCCCAGAUACUUCCACAUCCGCCUGGUUGGGGAGGAGAACAGGAGAAGACCCUGCUGAGAAGGACUCCAGAGGAAGAAGCUGUUUCCCUAGGCGACUUCCAACCUAUUUUGGGGCAGUGUUCACAAUAUUAAACUAGUAGAAAACACUAUAAUAAUUUGGGAGAAAAUAUUGUGUUACAAUUUCAUAUUCACUUUUUAUAUAUGUUCUUUGGAGCUGACGUGUUUGUUUUCACUAACCUUGUAUCUAUCCAUAACAGUUACAUUACAUUUAUAAGAGAAGAUGAACAUGAAACGUACCACUUUAUAAAGUAAAAAUGAAAAAGCCUCCAAGAUUUAAUAAACUGAUCACGUUUUUGUUAUUUCCAGAUAGAAUGGACUGUAUCUAUUAAGGGCUAAGGAGGAGAGAGAUAUUGGUAAAAAUUGUCAGUGACCAAACGUUCUAAAAAGAAAUGCAAAACAAAAUAUUUUUUGUUAUUGAGCCUUCAAUUAUUUAAAGAUGCAAAAUGGUUUCCUAAAUACAUAUCAUUUGUAACAAUUUCUCAUUAAUAUCUUGAAUAAUUCACCGUUUUUGCUAAGUUUCACGUUGACUUUACAUGCCAUUUAGGAAAUGAUUGUUUCGUGGCCAAAACAUGUUGCAGUGGUAAGGCUUUCUUAAACAGUAAAAUGUUUAGAUGAAAUUUUCUCUUUGAAAAUUCUCACAGGGUGAGGGUGUGGGAAAAAUGCUAUAUUAAUAAAUAAAUAAAUCUGCACUAUUUUGUGUCUGCAUGUUCAGUACCAAAGUAGACUUGGAUGAAAGAUGGACUGGGUCUAAUUCAUCAUGACUGCUAGUCCUGAUUAGGUUGUGUAGCAAAGCAUUAGAAAGGCCAUUCCCAUCACAGGAGUGCUAUUAAAAUAGCCUAAGAAGAAGAAACAGUUUUUUUUUCCCCCCCUCAGGCCUAACUAGGUUGUAAUCACAUAGACAAAGCUUCUGGUAGAUUGCAACUGUGAGCAGACACCUACAUAUAGUUGAAAAAUCUGGUCUUUUUUGGUAAAGAGAUGUAAAAUGUCUGAUGUAAGCCAUGCAACAGGGAUGUGAGUUUCCCUGAAUGGCAUAUAUAUGAUACGUCAGAUUAAUUAUUACUAUUUUUUACCAUUUGUACUUACAUAAUGAAAAUGAGCUCACUUUAUGUUCAAGUUAUUAUUUUGUAAGUUGUAGAAUAUGCAAUUAAAGUUUUAAUUGUGAAUUUUUCCCAAUAAAUGAGGUAUUCUAAAAAAAGAAUUUGUAUAGUUAGAUUUCCCCUGGCAACCAGAUAUUUUAU